AACGAACGCUGGCGGCAUGCCUAACACAUGCAAGUCGAACGAGACCUUCGGGUCUAGUGGCGCAAGGGUGCGUAACGCGGGGGAACCUGCCCGUAGGUUCGGAAUAACUCCCCGAAAGGGGUGCUAAUACCGGAUAAUGUCAUCGGUCCAAAGAUUUAUCGCCUUUGGAUGGGCCGGCGUUGGAUUCGCUGGUUGGUAGGGUAAAAGCCUACCAGGGCGACGAUCCAUAGCUGGUCAGGGAGGAUGAGCAGCCACGCUUGGACUGACACACGGGACGGACUCCUGCGGGAGGCGUGGGUGGGGAAUAUUGGAGAGUGGGAGAAAGCCGGAUCAACCCCGCGCGCGUGAGGACUGCCGGCGUUAGGGUUAUCAAGCUCGUUUACCCGGAAUGGUAAUGACGGUACCGGGAGAAUAAGCCCCGGCUAACCCCGUG
rnacentral:rRNA from 1 species